rnacentral:rRNA from 1 species
UACGUAGGGUGCAAGCGUUUAAUCGGAAUUACUGGGCGUAAAGCGUGCGCAGGCGGUGAUGUAAGACAGAUGUGAAAUCCCCGGGCUUAACCUGGGAACUGCAUUUGUGACUGCAUGGCUGGAGUGCGGCAGAGGGGGGAUGGAAUUCCGCGUGUAGCAGUGAAAUGCGUAGAUAUGCGGAGGAACACCGAUGGCGAAGGCAAUCCCCUGGGCCUGCACUGACGCUCAUGCACGAAAGCGUGGGGAGCAAACAGG